GGUUGUCAUGCCAAUGGCACUGCCCGGUAGCUAAAUGCGGAAGAGAUAAGUGCUGAAAGCAUCUAAGCACGAAACUUGCCCCGAGAUGAGUUCUCCCUGAGACUUAGAGUCUCCUGAAGGAACGUUGAAGACGACGACGUUGAUAGGCCGGGUGUGUAAGCGCAGCGAUGCGUUGAGCUAACCGGUACUAAUGAACCGUGAGGCUUAACCUU
rnacentral:rRNA from 1 species